rnacentral:rRNA from 1 species
ACGCUAGCGGCAGGCCUAAUACAUGCAAGUCGGACGGGAUUCAGGGAGUAGCUUGCUACGAACUGAUGAGAGUGGCGCACGGGUGCGUAACGCGUGAGCAACCUACCCAUAUCAGGGGGAUAGCCUCUCGAAAGAGAGAUUAACACCGCAUAACAUCAUUAACCGGCAUCGGAUUGUGAUCAAAUAUUUAUAGGAUAUGGAUGGGCUCGCGUGACAUUAGCUAGUUGGAGAGGUAACGGCUCACCAAGGCUACGAUGUCUAGGGGCUCUGAGAGGAGAAUCCCCCACACUGGUACUGAGACACGGACCAGACUCCUACGGGAGGCAGCAGUAAGGAAUAUUGGUCAAUGGAGGCAACUCUGAACCAGCCAUGCCGCGUGCAGGAUGACUGCCCUAUGGGUUGUAAACUGCUUUUGUCAGGGAAUAAACCUUUCCACGUGUGGGAAGCUGAAUGUACCUGAAGAAUAAGGAUCGGCUAACUCCGUGCCAGCAGCCGCGGUAAUACGGAGGAUCCAAGCGUUAUCCGGAUUUAUUGGGUUUAAAGGGUGCGUAGGCGGUCCUAUAAGUCAGUGGUGAAAGACGGCAGCUUAACUGUCGCAGUGCCUUUGAUACUGUAGGACUUGAAUCUAUUUGAAGUGGGCGGAAUAAGACAAGUAGCGGUGAAAUGCAUAGAUAUGUCUUAGAACUCCGAUUGCGAAGGCAGCUCACUAAGUUAGUAUUGACGCUGAUGCACGAAAGCGUGGGG